ensembl:lncRNA
CUUAAAUUCACAUAAAAGGAAGAAACAUGAUCAGUAUUGGAAAUGAAAGAAGAGUUCAUUCCAUGUGCUGCAAGAUGAAUUCCUAUGGGCAGCACUGCUGGGAGAAGGGCCAAUCAGUGUGUGUUGUCCCUUGAAGAAAGGGUUGCUGGGUGAGACCCUCUAGUUAAGAGAGAUGGCUCUGAAUUAGUAAAUGGGCAAAUCUCAGUCCUACUUUGAGAAGUUCACAGGGUGCUGCCAUGCGUGAUAGCAUGCCAAAUACUCCCAGAGUGUGCUUGGACAAAUGGCAUACUAAACCCAGUGCUGGGAUUGGUUAAUAGUUGUGAUGCCAUUGCCAGGGGUGGCAGGCGCAAUGCCCUAUUUUGCUUGGACUGCAGCUCAGUGGUUUUCCAACAAAGAUGUAUUUGAAUCAUCUUGAAAGCCAGGCACAGUAGUGCACACCUGUAACCCGAGUUACCAGAAACCCUGAGCCAGAAGUUGAGAUCAGCCUGGGCAACUCAGGGAGGCCUCAUCACAAAAGCAAAAAGACAUCUGGACCACAGUUUGAGUAGGUUUGGAGGGGCCAAGAAUGGGCAUUUGUAACAAGCUGAAAUGCAGUGCUGCUGAUCUGGGGACCGCAGUUUGAGAAUUACUACCCCCAGUUACCAUGAAGUUCCUUGAAUAAUUGCCUUUGGCUCUAGCAAUUCAACAACUGGAUCUUUAAUCUGCCAACAAAUAAAUUCUUCCUCUGCCGUGAAAGACAAAUAUUGAGCUGUUCAGUCCAACAUAGCUCAUUUCAACUGGCAACAGGGAACACACACCAGACCUGAAUGAACAAGUACUUCUGAAGACACUAUGUCUGAAAGAACAAGUAUCCAGGAUUCAUUUGUGACUGUCCACUUUCUGGAAAUUAUCUGAUUGAUACUUUUUUAUUAAAAAUAUCAACUUGUACUAGCAAAGGUGACCACUGACUGUAAAGCAACACUAGUGACUGGGUGUGGCACACGCCUGUAGUCCCAGCACUUGGGAGGCUAAGACAGGAGGAUCGCCAGUUCCAGGCCAGCCUGGUUACAUAGCAAGACCCUGUCUCAAAAAAUAACAAAAAUAAUGAAGCAACACUAGUGAGAACUAUUGAAAGAAAUGCCAAACAUUGCUACUUCACUGUUUGAAUCCAGACAACCUCAGUGAGGGUCACUGCACCAUGUAGUACCCAGUCUUCCCCUCUGACUGGCUAUUUGCCCCAGAGGCGAACACCUGCACUAAAGGAGACUCAUCAAAGCUGGGCGUGGUGGUGCACACUGUAAUCCCAGCAUUCAGGAGGCUGAGGCAGGAGGAUCACUGCAAGUUUGAGGCCAGGCUGAACUACAUACUGAGACCCUGUCUCAAAAAAACAAACCAAAAAACAUAAACUGGUCAGUAACAGAAUACUUGUAUGGCCUGCCUGGGGGGACUUACCUAGUCAAUUUGAAAUAAGAUUCACAAAGAGUAUUUCUGGUUGGUGCAUGCUGGAACUGAAAGCUCAUGUAGACUUAGGCCAAUUACUGUGGUUGGCAUCCUGGAGCUUAAACACCAGCCAGUGAGCAAAGAGAAGGGAGCAGAUGCUGAAGGGAGCCGUAAGUCCCUCACCACUGGAGACCUCAGCCAGUGCCACCUGAGUCCUGAUUCUUUUCCUGACUUGAGGGCAUUUGUGAGCCCAUUUGAUCCGGAAGUAACUUGAAACUAAACUGUAUUUAGACAUAUCUUAAUGCAGACCAUCUCUAAAUGACAUUUACCUAGAGAAUAUUAGGUAACUCACAGGAUCUUCUGAGGACUAGGAAAAUAAGUCUUGGAAACUACACAGUGAAAACUAGCCGAACUAUACUGUGAGAUGGCUUUGGAAAAGACCCAGUUGCUGCUCCUAAAUGUUAGAACCUGUGACACCACUGCCAUUUGAAGUAAGAUUACAUGUGCCCUCGCUUGCUCUCACUGCUGAUUUCUGAAUUGCAAUCUUGGCUUGAGUGGAUGUGCUUGGCAGAGGAUAUGUCACAUGCCUGCAGAGGCUGGGGAAGCUUUGUUUUUGGUUUUUGGUUUGUUUUGAGACAGGGUCUUGCUAUGUAGUUCAGACUGGCCUUGAACUCACCAUGUAGCCCAAGCUGGCCUUGAACUCACUAUAUAGUCCAGGCUGGCCUUGAACUCAUGGCAAUCCUCCUGCCUCAGCCUCCAGAGUUCUGGGAUUACAGGUGUGCACCACCACACCCAGCUUAUUUUGAUUUUGAUUUGGUUUGAGGACUUGUUUUGUACAAUUUGAUGUUAUUUUUUUACAUUGAGGAGGCUAGAUUCAUGAAUUUCCCAAGUCUUCAAGGGGCAUUUCAAAAGUACUGGGUAGGGCUGGGAUUUAGCUCAGUGGCACUGCACCUGCCUGGCAAGUGCAAGGUCCAGAGUUCAAUUCCCAGUACUCUGGAGGCAGGGAGCGGGGAGCACUGGGUAACCAAAACCAGGACAUACUUCUACUACAGUAUCCUAGCUGUUCAAACAAUUAAGGUUAAAUCAGGUGUGGUGGCGCAUGGUUGUAAUCCCAGCAUUUGGGAGGCUGAGGCAGGAGUAUCACUUUGAAUUCAAGGCCAGUCUGAGAUAUAUAGUGAGACCCUGUCUCAAAAAACCAAAAAUUAAAAAAAAA